UACAGAGGAGCCAAGCGUUGUCCGGAAUUAUUGGGCGUAAAGAGCUCGUAGGCGGUUUGUCGCGUCGAAUGUGAAAACCCGGGGCUCAACCCCGGGCCUGCAUUCGAUACGGGCGGACUAGAGUUCGGUAGGGGAGACUGGAAUUCCUGGUGUAGCGGUGAAAUGCGCAGAUAUCAGGAGGAACACCGGUGGCGAAGGCGGCUUCCUGGACCGACACUGACGCUGAGGCGCGAAAGCUAGGGGAGCAAACGGG
rnacentral:rRNA from 1 species